UAGGAGACUAUUACUCGAAAGCCCUGCAUUGAUGCAGAGGAUGCAAGAACAUGGAAAUCUGUGUUUAAACUAUAAAGGUUGUCGAAGUUUGAACUAUGUUAUUAACUGCUGUUUCUAGAUGUUUGUCGUUAAAAGGCCCACAGUAGUUGAUUUUAACUGUUGUGGUGCUUUCACAGCAAUUGUCAUUAGUAUACAGUAGUAUUAUAUAUUUAUAAUGUAAUGUAUGUAUUGUAUCCAUGUUAUUAGUAAUAUUCAGG